GUGCUCACUUCCUCAGCACAUAUACUAAAAUGGAACUAAAAAGAGAAGAUUAGCCUGGCCCCUGAGCAGGGAUGACAUGCAAAUUCGUGAAGCAUUCCAUAUUUUU